rnacentral:rRNA from 1 species
GACGAACGCUGGCGGCGUGCCUAACACAUGCAAGUCGAACGAGGUCCAUGCAGUGGCAACACUGCGGAAGACCUAGUGGCGAACAGGUGAGUAACACGUGAGGAACCUGCCCCGAAGGCCGGGAUAACCCUCCGAAAGGAGAGCUAAUACCGGAUACCCCCACCUGGUCGCAUGGCCGGGUGAGGAAAUGGAUUCCGCUUCGGGAGGGCCUCGCGGCCUAUCAGCUAGUUGGUGAGGUAACGGCUCACCAAGGCAUCGACGGGUAGCUGGUCUGAGAGGACGAUCAGCCACACUGGGACUGAGACACGGCCCAGACUCCUACGGGAGGCAGCAGUGGGGAAUCUUGCGCAAUGGGCGAAAGCCUGACGCAGCAACGCCGCGUGGGGGAUGAAGGCUCUCGGGUUGUAAACCCCUUUCAGCAGGGACGAAAUUGACGGUACCUGCAGAAGAAGCCCGGCUAACUACGUG